GUCCGCGGCCCAAUAUCCGCACUGAAAAUGCGGGUGUCGGCGGUUCAAAUCCGCCCCUCGCCA
rnacentral:tRNA from 1 species